rnacentral:rRNA from 1 species
CAGUAGCCGCGGUAAUACGUAGGGUGCAAGCGUUAUCCGGAAUUAUUGGGCGUAAAGAGCUCGUAGGCGGUCUGUCGCGUCUGCUGUGAAAACUGGAGGCUCAACCUCCAGCCUGCAGUGGGUACGGGCAGACUAGAGUGCGGUAGGGGAGAUUGGAAUUCCUGGUGUAGCGGUGGAAUGCGCAGAUAUCAGGAGGAACACCGAUGGCGAAGGCAGAUCUCUGGGCCGUAACUGACGCUGAGGAGCGAAAGCAUGGGGAGCGAACAGGAUUAGAUGCCCCCGUAGUCCCUGUCUCUUAUAC